rnacentral:misc_RNA from 1 species
GUAGGUGAACCUGCGGAAGGAUCAUUAUCGUGGGGCUUCGGCCCUCUCGAGAUAGAAACCCUUGCCUUUCCGAGUACCCUUUGUUUCCUCGGCAGGCCUGCCUGCCAUGGGGACCACCUUUAACUCUUUGUAUUAGCAGUGACGUCUGAUUUUAAACAAAACAAUCAAAACUUUCAACAACGGAUCUCUUGGUUCUG